rnacentral:lncRNA from 1 species
CUGUAAUUAUGUUUUAAUGGAAAUAAGAUGGCUUUCCAUGACCAGAAGGUUUAUCAAUGCAUUUAAAUAUGCAAAGGGUAGGUACAUCUAAUCUUUCAUUAAAAAUUCCAAAAAAAUUUCAAUAUAUGAUGGUGAGAUCCUUGCUCUGCAUCUCUUUUGACCCCAAAAGAAUCUGACAAAGUUAUUACAAGAAAGAAAAGUUACAAGAUAAACUCACUUAUGACCACAGGUGCAAAAUCCUAAAAAUAAUUAACAGAUAAUUUCAGAAAUUGAUAGAAAAGAUGAGAUGGUAUGAAAAUGUUUGGUUAAUACAAAAAAAAAGUAGGAGAGGAUUAUCAAUAUUGGGAAAUUAAUAUAAUUCACACUAAUAUAUGAAGGAGAAAUAUAUUAUCUCCAUAUAUGAAGAAUAAAAUACUAACUGAUAAAUCCACAGUAAUGAAUGAUAGAAACUCUUUGCAAAAUGAUAAGAGAACUCCCUCAUCAUGAUAAAAAAUAUUUUUUGGGAAAAAAAAAAACCUAUAAAAAAAUCUUACUUAAUGGGUAAAUUUUUGAAAGUUUUCCCUUUAAAGUCAAGAAAAGGCAAGAUUACCUUUGCUUAACUUUCAGUAAACACUUUAUUGGACAGUCCUAGAUAGUACAAUAUGAAAAAAAAAAAGAUAUAGAACUAUCAUGAAACAAUUAGUGCCCACCUAAAAAACCUAAGUCAACCUGUGUACCACUUUUGAAAAAUAAGAUAAUUUAGCUAUGUGUUUUAACAAUAAGAUCACAUACCAAACAAAUAUCGAUACAAUGGGAAAAAUAAAUAGGUAUAAGAGAAAUACUUUUUUACUGAAAUACAAUUGUCCACAGCCACAAGAGGUAUGUUAACCCCUCACAGAGAAAACUGUUGAACUUUAUUGAAAUACAUCCCCGGAAACAACAAAAUAGAGACAGGUGCAGUGAACAUGGAGGGAACGUAAAUCCAAUCAAAGUUCCAACAGGGCUUCGUUCAGUUGAAACUUCAGUUGAUUUGGAAAUUUAUUUGGAAGACUAGGAAAAGCUAGGGCGUUCUUGAAGAACAAGGCAAGGGGGCUAGUGUAUGCAAUGUAAAGAAUUUAAAAAUCAAAAUAAGUAAGCUAAAAUAUUUAUUUAAUGAUUGUCACAAGGCUAGAUGAAUAGAAUAACAAAACAGACUAGAAAAUCUCCAAAGAGACCAAUAUGCGUAUGGCAACAAUCAUGUAUGACACAGCUAAAUAUGGGCUUUUCAAUAUAUGACGGUGAGACCCUUGCUCUGCAUCUCUUUUGAUCCCAGCCUGAGAUCAUACACGAAAAUUAAUACCCAAUGAAUAAAAGACAAUGAAAAAGCAGAACAUAAAAGUUUUGAAAACUCAACAUAAAACUUCAUAACCUCAGUGUAAGGAUGGACGACUCAGAUAAAACAGAAGCUCAAACCCUACAGGAAAAGAUAAUUUGUUGACAUUACAAUCUAAACCCUUUGCUCAUCCAAAGAUGCUAAGCAUGCAGUGAAAAGAUAAACUACAGCCUUGAAAAAGAAAUUAUCAGUACAGAGAACUGAAGAGUUACUUUUCAGAGUAUAUAAAGCAUCACUACAAUUCACACACACAAAAUAACACAAAUGAAAACAAUUAAGAGAGACAAAAGACAUUUCACUGAAGACGAAUCCCAAAUGGCUUACCAACAAAUGAAAAGAUGCUUAACUCCAUUACUAAUCUGGGAAAUGCAAAUUUAAAAGACAAUAGCAUCCCCUUUUACACUUGUCUCAUAAUAAAUAAUAUUAAAUCCUAGCAAGAAAGUAGAAUAAACAGGACUCUAUACUUUACUAGUGGGAAAGCAAUAAAGCUGUAGACAAUUAGCAAUAAACGUAGGAGCUAGCAAUUCCACACUUCACGGAUGUGUCCUAAAGAAAAUCUGCACAUGUUCACCAGGAGCCACAAAAGAGAACAUGCAGGGAUGACUUUAUAGAAAUGAAAACUUGGAAUCUAUCCAAAUGUCCCACAAAAGGAUGGACAAACAGAUCAUGACGUAUGAUAACACUAGGGAAAAAGAAUAAUUUACAGCUGUGCUACAGCAUGGAUGCAUUGCAGGAACAAAAUGUUGAGGCCAGAAAAUAAAUGAAUAAAUCAGAAAAGAAUGCAUAACUGCAAUUACUCAGUGCAUAAAGUUCAAAAGCUUGUGAUCAUAAACAGUCUAUCAUUUUAAAAGGCAAACAUGCAGUAAUACAACAUUAUAAAGAAAAUCAAGAAAAGAGUAAACAAAAUUCAUACCAGUAGUUACUCUUGAGAGACGGAAAUGGAUAGGAUUAGGAAGAAGAGCUCAGGGAUUUUCAGAGAUAAGACCUUUUUUUUCCUUUAAAAAGUAUAGUGGGUACAUGAGAUCUCUAUAUCAUAUUAACGUUUGGAGAAAUCUUUUGCACUAAUUCUCAAAAUGGAAUGAUUCAGAUUUUUUUUUUUUUUUAAUCGGAAGCCCUGGCAGUAAUCAGCUAGGUUAGAACAGCAGCUGACACCUGUCCAGAGCGUCUCCCUCACUUGUGGUUGAUUCAGAAAUUUAUUGGAAGAUGAGGAAAGGCUAGGGCAUUCUUGAAGAACAAGGCAAGGCGGCAUGCGUAUGAAAUGUAAAGAAUUUAAACUCUUAUUUUGCUUAUAGCUUUCUUAUGGGUCACUCACUGACAUCACCUAUCUAGUCUUUGUGGGCACUUGAGAUGACAGUGGUGUUUUAGAGCAGUGGUUCUCAACAUGUGGUUCCUGAACUAGCAGCUGUAGCAUCACCUGUAACUUGUCACAAGUACAGGUGUUCAGGCACCACCCUCAACCUACUGCAUCAAACUAUGGCGGUAGAUCCUGGCAAUGGGUGUUUUAACAAGCCUGCCAUGGGAUCCUGAUGCUCCUGUUUGAGAACCACUGUUCUGGAGAGCCUGUCCCAGACUUGGACUUCCUUUCCGAGACUUUCUCCAUGUGCAGGCUCUUUUAGUCCUCCCAGAGGAGUUGCACUUGCUCCUAAUGGGAUUAGUAUUCAUUCCCAAGAGCCAAUAGGACACUCAAUUGCCAGGAACCAACACCCCCAUCCUGCCCUGGCCCAAAUCAGGAGGGAGUCUCCUUCCAUUUUCCUUGCUCAAUACUACCUAAGCAACAGCAUUGUGGUUAUCCAUCUAUUGUCGGAAAUUGACUGACAUCACUGCAGGAGUGCUGCAUGCACUCUCUGCAGGCCCCUAGGGCUCUUGCAGGAGCUUUCUUGACAGUGGAAAGAUUUAGCAUGUGAAUGAACAGUCUGCCUUUGUAGCAAAGGACAGACCUUAAGGAUGGGGUAUGAAAACUAAGCCAGCUACCACUUUGUCUUUGCUUCCAGGAAACUAGUUUCUACCUUAUCAUGCUGUUCACAUUAGGAGACAGUUUCAGAGUGGCCCGCUUUCUUGGCACUCUGGCAUAUCCAAGGCUUUGGAGGAGGGGAAGGGAGCAGGCAUUUCUGAGUCUACUUCUGAGUCCUCCUUCUGAUCUCAUAGGAGGUGGCAAGAGUAAAGCGAAUUCAUAGGCCUGUCUGAAAUCCAACGCUCCAUCUGAUAAAGUUCUCCAAGCUCCCUGUAUUUUUUCUAUUUCAGUAUUUUCCCCCUAAGCUAUGAUUUUGUAUGCAUCAUUCACUUUGAUUCACUAUAUACUGAAUACAAACACAUUAAUCAUAUCACGAAUUUGAUGUGCUGAUGUUGACCAUUUCAGUAAGUGGUGAAGACUCUUGUGUAGUGGGUGGUAUGUCUCACUGAGACAUAUGUGGUACUAGCCAUCAUCUCAUCAUUAUUUACAGAGCCUGGGUUCAGAAGUAGAAGUGCCAAUUCUAUGAAGAAAGAGUUGGCAUUUCAUUACAGAGAACAGUACAAAAAUGUGGUGGACAGGAAAGAAGUCCAAUUUUUCUAGAAGAGAUGAAGAAUACUCUAUAACAUGCCUGGGUGUGGAUCUUGGCUCUGCCCUUUUACAAGAUAUACAAACCUGAGGAAGUCAUUUACUUUAGUUUCCUUGCCUGUACAAUCAGGAUUUGAAGGAGUGCCAAAAACAGAGGAUUUUUGCGGGGAUUAAAUGACACAUAUAAAGCACUUCCCACAGUGCCCAUCACCUAGUAAGUAUUCAUUAAAACGUAGGAGAUGUUUGUGGCAAGAAAGACUAACAAAAUAGGUCAGACCAAGUUCUAAUGGGCAAGUAAGUUCAAGAGUUCAAUCUUUUCUAAGGAACUUGUGAAGGUUUUGAUGACAGAAGUAACAUAUUCAAACUGACUUCAGGAUGAUAUAUGGGUGCGUGAAGUACACUGGGAAACAAAGGGAAGAAAUAGAGGUAAUCUUUUGAGGUUACCAUAGUCCAGGUUCAAGGUGAAUUACUAUGUGAGAAUUAGUAUAUUAGUUGUGAGUUAAAAGCUGAAUUAUCUGAUGCAAUACAGGAAGGAGGGAAGAAGGAAGCAAGGGAAAGAGAGAACACGGCGUGAGGAUUGUUUCCUGGGACGGAUGGAGGAUAGCAGAGCCUGCUGUUGAGAAGAGGGUGAACAAAUGUGGAGUUGAGCAGGCAAUAUUAUCAUAAGGGAAGCUUAUGCCAAGAGGGAAAAGUUCUCCCUAUUAGUGAAAACAAAAGGUAUUAGACCAUGCUAGGAUAAGGUAGGGGCGUCAGCCAGACCUUAGGGAGAGAAGCAAAGAGCAUGGUGGAAAACCAUCUUCAAAUUUUAAAAGUGAGCUACAGGAAGAGCUCAACUGGGGUGAGGUAAAGUUCCUAGAUAAGGCCUGUAUUACACAGUCAUCACUUCCUGAAGCUCUAGAAAUGAGACCUCCUUCCCUGUCUGAGGUCAUAGCGGAGGGAAAAACACAGGCAAAGGGAUUUGGCCACACUUCAAGGUGGACCACACCUAGCUCAGCACCAACUUGGUGAAGGUCUUGUGAGAAGGAGGGGUAGGAUAGGGGUUUUUUGCCACACACAAAGCGAUAAGAAGUCAAAAGGGAAAUAAGGAGUGAAAAAGAAGCUCAAGCCAGCCCUUUCCUGAGGACUAGAGACCUGUUGUUUCUCUUAAAGGUUCUAGAUGAGUCACUGCCGUGGAAAAAGGGACAUCAAUUUCCUGCUGCCUGGAAGCAAAAGGCAGGGAGCCAGACCUGGGAAGUGAGGAAGCGCCCUCCCUCCCUUGGCGCCUAUGAAACAUGGCUUGGGACUGCUUCCCACUGGUCACCUUGCUCUUCCUGCCAAUUACUGAUGCCUGUGAGGGUGUGCCUGACCCAUAGCAGGGGGAAGGGAGUGGGGGCAGAACAAGGAGUCAGCAGUCGGCAGGCAGAGAGGAUGAUGUUCCCUUUUAAUACGUCAAAAAGAGGACGUAGAAAUAAAAUGCAGACAAUUGGUUUUAUUCAGCGAAGUUUGAUAGCCAUGGUAGAGGCCUGGGCUUCCCAAGUUGGGAUACUUUUCUUUGUAACAGAGGAGAGGAUCCUCAUUCAGUCCCAUGUGGGGCUAAUAUUAAAAUCUGGACUACCUAGAAGAUGGUUGGGUUUUACUUCAUAUUUUUCAUAUUGAAUGAGUUCAGCAGAAAUCUUUCGAUGAAGCAUUAUCCUCUUUUGCCCUAACAAUUACCAUAGAGUGUAACUGACUCCCCUUCACUCAAUUUACUUAUGUUACACACAGUAAAAUUCACUUGGGGGGGGUACAAUUAUGUGAGGCACAUGACCACCCCUACAAUCAAGGCACAGAACCAUUUUGUCACCAAAGAUCAUCUACCCCUUGUGCUGUCCCUUUGUAGUCAAAUCCAUUCCCUUUAAUUCCUGGCAACAACUUAACUGUUCUGAAUCUUCUUUUGACAACUGCCUAUUUGAGUCAGGCUUGAAAUUUCUUUAUGAGCAGCUGGUAUGAUAGCAAUAGUCACAACAAUAUAGUAGUAGUAAAUACAUAUUAUACAUUUACCACGCGCCAGGCACCACUUGAAACACUUUAGAGAUGAGGAAACAGGCUUUGAGAAACUUUGGCAAGGAGAGGAGGGAAGAAAGACUUGCCCAAGGUCAUGCUGUGACAGCUCCGUGGCUUGAGUCAGCCAUGGCUAAGCUCUGUCCAAAUCAGCUUCCGGGAAAGAUGCAGAAAGCAGGAUGAAGUGAAAGGAAUGCCUACCAACUCCAGGACGUUCAGUUUAGACCUGAGAUUGCCUCACUCUAAAACUACACAAAACUUAUGUAAGAAUUUGGUUAAUUACACCAAUCAGGCAAUAAGUACCUGGGUGUAAGAUAAAAUGAAGCCAGGAUUUUAGAACACCUUCCUUAUGAUCUUUGUGCUAGGCAGGGAAGAUAAAGCCCAGAUAUCUUAUAUUUUCCCUCAUAAAUUUGACCAGGCUUGUAAAGCAAAGCUAGAAAAAUUUCCUAAUCAGAUAUGGAAAUGUUGUGUCAAUGCUCAGAGCAUCGACUUCCUUUGAAAUGUAUUGAAAAAGUGAAAUGGGAUCUUUAAUCGUGCUUGGUCUUGGAUCUAUUUCAGGUUGGAAUCCCCCACCCGGUCUCUGGUGAUGGAAGCCCCAAAAGGAGUAGAAAUAAAUGCAGAAGCCGGCAAUAUGGAAGCCACCUGCAGAACAGAGCUGAGACUGGAGUCCAAAGAUGGAGAGAUUAAGUUAGAUGCUGCGAAAAUCAAACUACCCAGAUUGCCUCACGGAUCCUACACACCCGCGGG